rnacentral:rRNA from 1 species
CGUCAGCUCGUGCCGUGAGGUGUUGGGUUAAGUCCGCAACGAGCGCAACCCCCGCCGUUAGUUGCCAGCGGUUCGGCCGGGCACGUCUAACGGGACUGGCCCGCGAAAGCGGGAGGAAGGAGGGGACGACGUCUGGUCAGCAUGGCCCUUACGGCCUGGGCGACACACGUGCUACAAUGCCCACUACAAAGCGAUGCCACCCGGCAACGGGGAGCUAAUCGCAAAAAGGUGGGCCCAGUUCGGAUUGGGGUCUGCAACCCGACCCCAUGAAGCCGGAAUCGCUAGUAAUCGCGGAUCAGCCAUGCCGCGGUGAAUACGUUCCCGGGCCUU